UACAGAGGUCUCAAGCGUUGUUCGGAUUCAUUGGGCGUAAAGGGUGCGUAGGUGGCGCUGUAAGUCAGGUGUGAAAUUUCGGAGCUUAACUCCGAAACUGCAUUCGAUACUGCGGUGCUUGAGGACUGGAGAGGAGACUGGAAUUCAUGGUGUAGCAGUGAAAUGCGUAGAGAUCAUGAGGAAGACCAGUGGCGAAGGCGGGUCUCUGGACAGUUCCUGACACUGAGACACGAAGGCCAGGGGAGCAAACGGG
rnacentral:rRNA from 1 species